UUGAACGCUGGCGGAAUGCUUUACACAUGCAAGUCGAGCGGCAGCGCGGGGCAACCUGGCGGCGAGCGGCGAACGGGUGAGUAAUGCAUCGGAACAUGUCCAUGUCGUGGGGGAUAGCCCGGCGAAAGCCGGAUUAAUACCGCAUACGUCCGAGAGGAGAAAGUGGGGGACCGCAAGGCCUCACGCGAUUGGGUUGGCCGAUGUCCGAUUAGCUAGUUGGCGGGGUAAAGGCCCACCAAGGCGAUGAUCGGUAGCUGGUCUGAGAGGAUGAUCAGCCACACUGGGACUGAGACACGGCCCAGACUCCUACGGGAGGCAGCAGUGGGGAAUUUUGGACAAUGGGGGAAACCCUGAUCCAGCCAUUCCGCGUGAGUGAAGAAGGCCUUCGGGUUGUAAAGCUCUUUUGUCCGGAACGAAACGGCUAGCGUGAACAUCGCUGGCUACUGACGGUACCGGAAGAAUAAGCACCGGCUAACUACGUGCCAGCAGCCGCGGUAAUACGUAGGGUGCGAGCGUUAAUCGGAAUUACUGGGCGUAAAGCGUGCGCAGGCGGUUUUGUAAGCCAGAUGUGAAAUCCCCGGGCUUAACCUGGGAAUGGCAUUUGGGACUGCAAGGCUUGAGUGCGGCAGAGGAGACUGGAAUUCCUGGUGUAGCAGUGAAAUGCGUAGAUAUCAGGAGGAACACCGAUGGCGAAGGCAGGUCUCUGGGCUGACACUGACGCUCAUGCACGAAAGCGUGGGGAGCAAACAGGAUUAGAUACCCUGGUAGUCCACGCCCUAAACGAUGUCGACUGGUUGUUGGGGGUUUGACACUCUCAGUAACGAAGCUAACGCGUGAAGUCGACCGCCUGGGGAGUACGGCCGCAAGGUUAAACUCAAAGGAAUUGACGGGGACCCGCACAAGCGGUGGAUUAUGUGGAUUAAUUCGAUGCAACGCGAAAAACCUUACCUACCCUUGACAUGUCCGGAAGGCUGCUGAAAGGCGGCUGUGCCCGAAAGGGGACUGGAACACAGGUGCUGCAUGGCUGUCGUCAGCUCGUGUCGUGAGAUGUUGGGUUAAGUCCCGCAACGAGCGCAACCCUUGUCAUUAGUUGCUACAUUCAGUUGGGCACUCUAAUGAGACUGCCGGUGACAAACCGGAGGAAGGUGGGGAUGACGUCAAGUCCUCAUGGCCCUUAUGGGUAGGGCUUCACACGUAAUACAAUGGCGCGUACAGAGGGCUGCUAAGCCGCAAGGUAGAGCCAAUCCCUUAAAGCGCGUCGUAGUCCGGAUUGCAGUCUGCAACUCGACUGCAUGAAGUCGGAAUCGCUAGUAAUCGCGGAUCAGCAUGUCGCGGUGAAUACGUUCCCGGGUCUUGUACACACCGCCCGUCACACCAUGGGAGUGGGUUUCACCAGAAGCCGGUCGCCUAACCGCAAGGAGGGCGCCGACCACGGUGAGAUUCAUGACUGGGGUG
rnacentral:rRNA from 1 species